CCCCAGCCUAUAGGAUUUCAGAGAUGUAUCCAAUUUUCAGUCCAGACGAUUCCAGAAGUCCUGCCAUUUGCCCAGAUGCCCUGCUCCCAAGGGUCCCUACAAGGGGCAUUUUAUGAGAAUAAAGGGGAAGAUCCAU